UACGGAGGGGGCUAGCGUUGUUCGGAAUUACUGGGCGUAAAGCGUGCGCAGGCGGUGAUGUAAGACAGGUGUGAAAUCCCCGGGCUUAACCUGGGAACUGCAUUUGUGACUGCAUCGCUGGAGUGCGGCAGAGGGGGAUGGAAUUCCGCGUGUAGCAGUGAAAUGCGUAGAUAUGCGGAGGAACACCGGUGGCGAAGGCGGCCCACUGGAUCGGCACUGACGCUGAGGUGCGAAAGCGUGGGGAGCAAACAGG
rnacentral:rRNA from 1 species